GGGGCUGUAUUAGCUUCGACAGAAGGAUUCGAGAAGCUAUAUUGCAAGCAGGUACGCAAGACCUUAACAUUGCAAACAUUUAAGUGCAAAAACACUUAGCGAAAAAGCCAGAACUGCAUUUGCAGGACUAGCCUUUUCACCAGUCGCCAUCUAAAUUUUGGCGACCGUCCGCUCCUGAUCUGCUCGAAUUAGGAGGUCGGAUGUCAUACUUCGGGCUGCACUUUAGCUGACUCCUUAGCGACUGAAGCUAAGAUUUACUAAGGAUAAACUUGCGGAGUUUUGCAGCGGCUCUAUUUGCAAGUCGAAAUCCUAGCCGCUGAUAAGCUUGUAGAAAAUAUCGCGUCUCCCUUUUGGACAGGGGUGCAAUUCCCCUCAGCUCCACCA
rnacentral:tmRNA from 3 species